rnacentral:rRNA from 1 species
AUGGUGUACCAGCUUUGCAAGGGCGUUGCUUUUUGCCACGGACGCAGUGUCUGGCACCAUGACCUUGAGCUACACAACCUGCAAAUUGGUGAAUGGGUUGGUAUCCUCUGGUUUGAUCCCAGAAAGAGGAAGUGUUCUCUUCUCUUUAUGAACCAAAGGCACUUUAUUCUCUCAUGGAUGGAUGGGACUCCAUCAAUUUAG